CCUACGGGGGGCAGCAGUGAGGAAUAUUGGUCAAUGGACGAGAGUCUGAACCAGCCAAGUAGCGUGAAGGAUGACUGCCCUAUGGGUUGUAAACUUCUUUUAUAAAGGAAUAAAACGAGGCACGUGUGCCUUGUUGCAUGUACUUUAUGAAUAAGGAUCGGCUAACUCCGUGCCAGCAGCCGCGGUAAUACGGAGGAUCCGAGCGUUAUCCGGAUUUCUUGGGGUUACAGGGAGCGUAGAUGGGUUGUUAAGUCAGUUGUGAAAGUUUGCGGCUCAACCGUAAAAUUGCAAUUGAUACUGGCAGUCUUGAUUACAGUUGUGGUCGGCGGCAUUCGUUGUGUAGCGGU
rnacentral:rRNA from 1 species